rnacentral:lncRNA from 1 species
GGCACACCCCACCAUCUUGCACUGAGGUGUGGUGCACACUUGCCUGCUGAGAGCGGACCUGCCGAUGCAGCAGUUCUGUGCUGGAAACGCUAAUCUGACACGUUAGGCACCCAGCCUCUGGACACAGCACCCUCUAGGCAAGUGAAAAUGGAUUAAGUGAAGAAGAAGAGGGGAAAUGAAUUUUUGAAAUUCACUAUGAAUUUGAAGUGUAGGAUGUUUCCAUAGGAAAUGAAUGAUUCGUUUCAAUUACAGAUAAAGACAUUUCAUUAGUCAAAAACCUACCCAUACAAGAAUUACACGAAUCUGGUAAGAGAUUAUUUUUCUAUCUUAUAUCUCUAAGUAGUGAAACAAAGCUUUCUUUCCAUUUUUCUAGGUGUUGGUUAACAUUUUCUCUGUGUCCUUUCUAGAAUUAGCGGGCAUCCUCUCUAUUUUUAAAUACCUCGGUACUAAGAUCUGG